rnacentral:rRNA from 1 species
UACGUAGGUGGCAAGCGAUACUCGGAAUCACUAGGCGUAAAGCGCAGGUAGGAGGUUUGAUAAGUCUGUUGUGAAAGCUCCCGGCUUAACUGGGAGAGGUCAACGGAAACUAUUAGGCUAGAGUGCGGUAGAGGUAGCUGGAAUUCCCGGUGUAGCGGUGAAAAUGCGUAGAGAUCGGGAGGAACAUCAGUGGCGAAGGCG